rnacentral:rRNA from 1 species
GCGAACGCAGUACAAGCGGCGGGGGUAAUACGUAGGGUGGAAGCGUUAAUCGGAAUGACUGGUCGUAAAGCGUGCGCAGGCGGUUAUAGAAGACAGAUGUGAAAUCCCCGGGCUCAACCUGGGAACUGCAUUUGUGACUGUAUAGCUAGAGUACGGCAGAGGGGGAUGGAAUUCCGCGUGUAGCAGUGAAAUGCGUAGAUAUGCGGAGGAACACCGAUGGCGAAGGCAAUCCCCUGGGCCUGUACUGACGCUCAUGCACGAAAGCGUGGGGAGCAAACAGGAUUAGAUACCCCUGUAGUC